rnacentral:rRNA from 1 species
GAUGAACGCUGGCGGCGUGCCUAAUACAUGCAAGUCGAGCGAACGGACGAGAAGCUUGCUUCUCUGAUGUUAGCGGCGGACGGGUGAGUAACACGUGGAUAACCUACCUAUAAGACUGGGAUAACUUCGGGAAACCGGAGCUAAUACCGGAUAAUAUUUUGAACCGCAUGGUUCAAAAGUGAAAGACGGUCUUGCUGUCACUUAUAGAUGGAUCCGCGCUGCAUUAGCUAGUUGGUAAGGUAACGGCUUACCAAGGCAACGAUGCAUAGCCGACCUGAGAGGGUGAUCGGCCACACUGGAACUGAGACACGGUCCAGACUCCUACGGGAGGCAGCAGUAGGGAAUCUUCCGCAAUGGGCGAAAGCCUGACGGAGCAACGCCGCGUGAGCGAUGAAGGUCUUCGGAUCGUAAAACUCUGUUAUUAGGGAAGAACAUAUGUGUAAGUAACUGUACACAUCUUGACGGUACCUAAUCAGAAAGCCACGGCUAACUACGUG